GACAGAGGUUGCAAACGUUGUUCGGAAUUACUGGGCAUAAAGCGCACGUAGGCGGUUCGUUAAGUCAUGUGUGAAAUCCCUCGGCUCAACCGAGGAAUUGCGCCUGAUACUGGCGGGCUAGAGAUCGAUAGGGGUGAGUGGAACUCCAGGUGGAGCGGUGAAAUGCGUAGAUAUCUGGAGGAACACCGGUGGCGAAAGCGGCUCACUGGAUCGAUACUGACGCUGAGACGCGAAAGCGUGGGGAGCAAACAGG
rnacentral:rRNA from 1 species